rnacentral:rRNA from 1 species
CCUGCAGUCGAACGAUGAAGACCGUGCUUGCACGGUUGGAUUAGUGGCGAACGGGUGAGUAUCACGUGAGUAACCUUCCCUUGACUCUGGGAUAAGCCCGGGAAACUGGGUCUAAUACCGGAUACGACCAGUCCUCGCAUGGGGUGCUGGUGGAAAGAUUUAUCGGUCUUGGAUGGACUCGCGGCCUAUCAGCUUGUUGGUGAGGUAAUGGCUCACCAAGGCGAUGACGGGUAGCCGGCCUGAGAGGGUGACCGGCCACACUGGGACUGAGACACGGCCCAGACUCCUACGGGAGGCAGCAGUGGGGAAUAUUGCACAAUGGGCGAAAGCCUGAUGCAGCGACGCCGCGUGCGGGAUGACGGCCUUCGGGUUGUAAACCGCUUUCAGCAGGGAAGAAGCGAAAGUGACGGUACCUGCAGAAGAAGCGCCGGCUAACUACGUGCCAGCAGCCGCGGUAAUACGUAGGGCGCGAGCGUUAUCCGGAAUUAUUGGGCGUAAAGAGCUCGUAGGCGGUUUGUCACGUCUGCUGUGAAAGCCCGAGGCUCAACCUCGGGUGUGCAGUGGGUACGGGCAGACUAGAGUGCAGUAGGGGAGACUGGAAUUCCUGGUGUAGCGGUGAAAUGCGCAGAUAUCAGGAGGAACACCGAUGGCGAAGGCAGGUCUCUGGGCUGUUACUGACGCUGAGGAGCGAAAGCAUGGGGAGCGAACAGGAUUAGAUACCCUGGUAGUCCAUGCCGUAAACGUUGGGCACUAGGUGUGGGGGACAUUCCACGUUUUCCGCGCCGUAGCUAACGCAUUAAGUGCCCCGCCUGGGGAGUACGGCCGCAAGGCUAAAACUCAAAGGAAUUGACGGGGGCCCGCACAAGCGGCGGAGCAUGCGGAUUAAUUCGAUGCAACGCGAAGAACCUUACCAAGGCUUGACAUGGACCGGAUCGCU